rnacentral:rRNA from 1 species
UAGGGAAUCUUCGGCAAUGGACGAAAGUCUGACCGAGCAACGCCGCGUGAGUGAAGAAGGUUUUCGGAUCGUAAAACUCUGUUGUUAGAGAAGAACAAGGACGUUAGUAACUGAACGUCCCCUGACGGUAUCUAACCAGAAAGCCACGGCUAACUACGUGCCAGCAGCCGCGGUAAUACGUAGGUGGCAAGCGUUGUCCGGAUUUAUUGGGCGUAAAGCGAGCGCAGGCGGUUUCUUAAGUCUGAUGUGAAAGCCCCCGGCUCAACCGGGGAGGGUCAUUGGAAACUGGGAGACUUGAGUGCAGAAGAGGAGAGUGGAAUUCCAUGUGUAGCGGUGAAAUGCGUAGAUAUAUGGAGGAACACCAGUGGCGACGGCGGCUCUCUGGUCUGUUACUGACGCUGAGGCUCGAAAGCGUGGGGAGCAAACAGG